AAGUCGUAACAAGGUUUCCGUAGGUGAACCUGCGGAAGGAUCAUUAUUGAUUGGUCGAAAGACCUUAUCAGAUUCUACCACCCCUGUGAACCGUUGACCUCCGGGUUAAUAAUCAAACAUCAGUGUAACGAACGUAAGAGUAUCUUAAUUAAACAAAACUUUUAACAACGGAUCUCUUGGCUCUC
rnacentral:misc_RNA from 1 species